rnacentral:tRNA from 1 species
GUUCAAGUAGCUUAAUUUUAAAGCAGGGCAUUGAAGAUGCCUAUAUAAGAUUUUUUCUUCUUGAAUA